UACGAAGGGAGCUAGCGUUGUUCGGAUUUACUGGGCGUAAAGGGCGCGUAGGCGGUUUAGUAAGUUGGAUGUGAAAGCCCUGGGCUCAACCCGGGAAUUGCAUUCAAAACUACUUGACUAGAAUUUGGUAGAGGUUGGUAGAAUUCCCAGUGUAGAGGUGAAAUUCGUAGAUAUUGGGAAGAAUACCCGUGGCGAAGGCGGCCAACUGGACCAACAUUGACGCUGAGGCGCGAAAGCGUGGGUAGCAAACAGG
rnacentral:rRNA from 1 species